CAAUGUUUGCUUUGUUUUGUGUUGUUGCUAUGAGAUUUCUGGGUGACUUUUGCUGCCUUUUUUUAGGGGGGAUAUUACUUGUUUUAUAGUCUUCAGGCAAAGCACAGGGACUGUUUCUCAGCAUUGUUCUGCACUGCUCUUUGUGCUGGGCACAUGCCAUGGGCAAGCUGCAAAGCCACUUGGAGAUCUACUCUGUGUGGCUUGAGGAGAGGGUUAUAAGCAUAUAUAACCACACUGGCUACUUCUUCUGAAGCAAAACCUCUGAUUUCCUAGAAUAUUGUUAUUCCAUUAGAAAAAAAAAUUGCUGUCCCAGAAAGAAAAUGCUUCAGGCAAAUCUUAGUCUAUGGAUUUUGACCAGGAAAUAGGGAGAAUGUGAUGAUAGUAAGGGGAAGAUACUGUUAAAUGUAUCAGUCGCAGAAUUCAAGUUGGAGACACAGUAGCACCGUCCUGUGUCUAUGAGGACCUCCACCUGACUAUGGAAUCUUCCAGCAGCAUCAAACGUUCAGUGAUUAGGUACCCUCACUAAAGGGGAAAUAGGUUGCUGGGAGUCAGUGACCUCCAGCAACCUAAUGAGAAGAAAAAAAUUGCCAUCACAUCCCUGUUUAUUUUCAGAUCACUGCUAAUCUAAGCCUGCCCAUACAAACAUGGUUGAACUUCAGAUAUUAAAGUUUUGUGCCGUUCUCCACACUUCCAAUUAAACAAAUUAAUCCAUUGUCUCUCUUUUUCAUGUUUGUUUUACAGGUAUAAGUUUUCAAAUGACUCAAAUGGAAAAAAAGAAACACUGCAGGCCUUGUCCUCAGCAAAUCUCUUCAGUGAUUCCUGGUCCACUUCCACAGCUAAAAUGAGCAGACUGAGAGGAAGAAUUGCAUUAGGAAUUCUGAGUGAACUCUGCUGUUCCUAAUGCCUCCAGGUAUCAAUGGUAAGUCCCACAGCCCCUUUUAACAUGUGAUUUACAAAGAGAAGGCCACAGUGUGAUUUGGUGUCUUUCUGCACAUGCUGAGGUUUAUGUAAAGUGUGCAAUACUUUUUAUGUUGAAUUUUUUUACACACACAAAUGUGCACACAAAAAAUGCUGAAUACUCCCCUCCAGGGUAAUACCUAAUGUCAUAUACAGCCCAAAUUCAAGAACAAGCAUAUAAAAAAAAGUAGCUUGAACUGUUGUUACAUGAGUGUGAACUUUAUUAUUUAUCAAUACUUUUCCAGAGCCUAGAAAAGAAGAAAAUGGAAACAAAAUCUGAAGACAGUAUGAAGUUAUUAAAAAGCAAAGC
rnacentral:lncRNA from 1 species